rnacentral:miRNA from 1 species
ACCACUCCCACAAACGUCUACGACCGCACCUACAUAUUUUUGCAUGUUUACAAUUCUAAUUUUAAACAGCCAAUCGCCGUUUAAUUGUAAUUGUUACCAAGAACAGGAUUGGCUGUUCAAAAUUAGAAUUGUAAACAUGCAAAAAUAUGUAGUUGCGGUCAUAGACGUUUGUGGGAGUGGU